rnacentral:rRNA from 1 species
GAUGAACGCUGGCGGCGUGCCUAAUACAUGCAAGUCGAGCGAACAGACGAGGAUCUUGCUCCUCGGACGUUAGCGGCGGACGGGUGAGAAACACGUGGAUAACCUACCUAUAAGACGGGGAUAACUACGGGAAACCGGAGCUAAUACCGUAUAAUAUAUUGAUCCGCAUGGGGCAAUGGUGAAAGACGGUGUUGCUGUCACGUAUCGAGGGAUCUCCGCCGCAUUAGCUAGUUGGUAAGGUUACGGGUUACGAAGGCAACGAUGCGUAGCCGAACGGAGAGGGGGGUCGCCGACCUUGGAGCUGGAACACGCACCAGGCGCCUACGGGAGGCAGCAGUAGGCAACCGGACGCAGUGGUCGAAAGCAUUGCGGAGCAGCCCCGCGCGAGUGACGACGGUCUUCCGAUCGGAAUACUGUGUUUUGAGGGAAGAACAACUGUGGAAGUAACUAUGCCCGUCUUGACGGUAACUAAUAAAAAAGCCCCGGCUAACUACGUG